AUGGCGGCCGAGUCUUCCUGGUGCUGGCCGUGGCUCAGCUCCGGUGCGGCGUGGUUCCUCUUCUUCAACGUCGUCGUCGGCGCCGUGGCCGUCUUGUCCUGGCGGCAGGGCGGCGACGCGCAGGUGUCUAGGCGGAGGAGGCUCACCCGGAGCGCGUCGUCCAUGGUCAUGGAGCGCCUCCGCUCCAUGUCCGUCUUCGCCGCCUUCCACUCCGUGCCCGAGCACGACUACGGCAGCGGCCUCACACCGCCGGCGUCGCAGUCGCAGCUCCACCACGUGCAAGAAUAUUACACGUCGACGUCGUCACAAGAACAGGGAGGAGAGGAGGUCGGGCAGGUGCUGAAGCCGGAGCCAGCCCUGCCGGCGACCAUGGCCCCGUCGACACUGGCUGCUCCUGAUGCCGCAGCAGCGGAAGCGGAGACACGGACGGAGAUGUCCAGAUGCUUGGGAGACGCAUGCACUGCAGUAGUGGCCCGGCAGCGACACGCGCCGGAGCUGGAGCCAACGCCAGCCACGGCCGCCGCCAAGGGUGCUACGACGGAGAGGCCGAGGAAGCGGGAGCCGGCGAAGGAGGCGAAGAUCGUCGAGCGGCACGCGUACGCGAAGGUAGAAGAGAAGGCGGAGGUGAACGCGCGGGCCGAGCGGUUCAUCCGGCAGUUCCGGGAGGAGCUCAAGCUGGAGCGCAUCAAAUCCAUCCUCAACCAGAGCGCCGCCGCAUCGGCACGGUAG
rnacentral:rRNA from 1 species